rnacentral:rRNA from 1 species
GACGAACGCUGGCGGCGUGCUUAACACAUGCAAGUCGAACGGAAAGGCCCUGCUUUUGUGGGGUGCUCGAGUGGCGAACGGGUGAGUAACACGUGAGUAACCUGCCCUUGACUUUGGGAUAACUUCAGGAAACUGGGGCUAAUACCGGAUAGGAGCUCCUGCUGCAUGGUGGGGGUUGGAAAGUUUCGGCGGUUGGGGAUGGACUCGCGGCUUAUCAGCUUGUUGGUGGGGUAGUGGCUUACCAAGGCUUUGACGGGUAGCCGGCCUGAGAGGGUGACCGGCCACAUUGGGACUGAGAUACGGCCCAGACUCCUACGGGAGGCAGCAGUGGGGAAUAUUGCACAGUGGGCGGAAGCCUGAUGCAGCAACGCCGCGUGCGGGAUGACGGCCUUCGGGUGGUAAACCGCUUUCGCCUGUGACGAAGCGUGAGUGACGGUAAUGGGUAAAGAAGCACCGGCUAACUACGUG